rnacentral:rRNA from 1 species
GAGGAACGCGGGCGGCGGGCCUAAGACAGGCAAGUCGAGCGAACGGACGAGAAGCUUGCUUCUCUGAUGUUAGCGGCGGACGGGUGAGUAACACGUGGAUAACCUACCUAUAAGACUGGGAUAACUUCGGGAAACCGGAGCUAAUACCGGAUAAUAUUUUGAACCGCAUGGUUCAAAAGUGAAAGACGGUCUUGCUGUCACUUAUAGAUGGAUCCGCGCUGCAUUAGCUAGUUGGUAAGGUAACGGCUUACCAAGGCAACGAUGCAUAGCCGACCUGAGAGGGUGGUCGGCCACACUGGAACUGAGACACGGUCCAGACUCCUACGGGAGGCAGCAGUAGGGAAUCUUCCGCAAUGGGCGAAAGCCUGACGGAGCAACGCCGCGUGAGUGAUGAAGGUCUUCGGAUCGUAAACCUCUGUUAUUAGGGAAGAACAUAUGUGUAAGUAACUAUGCACAACUUGGCGGUACCUAAUCAGAAAGGCACAACUCAAUACAUU